rnacentral:lncRNA from 1 species
ACCGCAGGGGGUCAAAAUACCAUGGCUAAGUAAAAUUUUACAAAUAUCUUUUCCAGUAUAUUAAAUACAUACAAACUACUUAUUGGAGUAUUAUAACUAUGUUAAGGAGUUAGAAUAGCUUCAAUUUUUGAAAUUCAAGGUCUAUAGUAGUGGGUUCAAUAUACCGCAGGGGGGUCAAAAUACCAUGGCUAAGUAAAAUUUUCAAAAUAUCUUUUCCAGUUUAUUAAAUAUUUACAAACUACUUAUUGAAGUAUUAUAACUAUGUUAAGGAGUUAGAAUAGCUUGAAUUUUUGAAAUUGAAGGUCUAGAGUAGGGGGUUCAAUAUACCGCAGGGGGUUCAAAAUACCAUGGCUAAGUAAAAUUUUCAAAAUAUCUUUUCCAGUUUAUUUAAUACAUACAAACUACUUAUUGGAGUAAUAUAACUAUAUUAAGGAUUUAGAAUAGCUUGAAUUUUUAAAAUUCAAGGUCUAUAGUAGGGGGUUCAAUAUACCGCAGGGGGGUCAAAAUACCAUGGCUAAGUAAAAUUUUCAAAAUAUCUUUUCCAGUAUAUUAAAUACAUACAAACUACUUAUUGGAGUAUUAUAACUAUGUUAAGGAGUUAGAAUAGCUUGAAUUUUUGAAAUUCAAGGUCUAUAGUAGGGGGUUCAAUAUACCGCAGGGGGGUCAAAAUACCAUGGCUAAGUAAAAUUUAACAAAUAUCUUUUCCAGUAUAUUAAAUACAUACAAACUACUUAUUGGAGUAAUAUAACUAUGUUAAGGAGUUAGAAUAGCUUGAAUUUUUGAAAUUCAAGGUCUAUAGUAGGGGGUUCAAUAUACCGCAGGGGGGUCAAAAUACCAUGGCUAAGUAAAAUUUUCAAAAUAUCUUUUCCAGUAUAUUAAAUACAUACAAACUACUUAUUGGAGUAUUACAACUAUGUUAAGGAGUUAG